CGACUCGUUUCCCGGCAACUACUCACUCACGCGUCGUCGCGACGAGCUCCGGCGAACCCAAAGUAGAAUAUCCGUUUUCCGUUUCGACCAGAAAAUGGCAAGUAGUAACACAAAGGAGAAGGAAGAGUUCAAGAAUCAAAGCUACAGAUUCAGAUUCAUUCUUGGAAAUGUGGAAAAGAGCAAUGGAGCGUGAGAGAAAGUCAGCUGAGUUCAAAAGAAUAGCUGAGAACAUUGCUCCUCCUGAAGUGGAUGAAAGCCCUGAGAUAUUGGAGAAG
rnacentral:misc_RNA from 1 species